GAUGAACGCUGGCGGCGUGCCUAAUACAUGCAAGUCGAGCGAACGCACGAGAAGCUUUCUUCUCUGAUGUUAGCGGCGGACGGGUGAUUAACACGUGGAUAAACUAACUCUAAGACUGGGAUAACUAUGGGAAACGGGAGCUACUACCGGAUGAUUUUUUGAACCGAAUGGUUCAAAAGUGAAAGACGGUCUUGCUGUCACUUAUAGAUGGAUACGCACUGCAUUAGUUAGUUGGGAAGGUAACGGCUUACCAAGGCAACGAAGCAUAACCGACCCGAACGGGUGGUUGACCACCUUGUAUGUGAGGCACAGUCCACACUCCGGCGGUAGGAAGCAGUAGGGAAUCUUCCGCGAUGGAGGAAAGCCUAAUGUAGCAACACGGCGUAAGUGAUGAAGGUCUUCGGAUCGGAAAACGCUGUAAUUAGGGAAGAAGAAAUGUGUUAGUAACGGUGAACAUCUUGACGGUACCUAAUCAAAAAGCCACGGCUAACUACGUG
rnacentral:rRNA from 1 species